GAGUCCCAGUGUAAUAAGGUCCCGGAGAAGUGUCACUGGCCCUGAGUGGGACCCGGUAGCCCGUUCGCUCCGCGCCGGAGGCCUGUCCCCGCGGCUUGGCGGGCUAGGGCAGGGGAAAUGUUGCAGGAGGAGUCGGACCUCUCUCUCAUUAUUGCCCAGAUAGUCCAAAAGCUCAAGGGCUCCAAUUUGUACUCUCAGCUGGAACGGCAGGCCUGGGCCAGUCUUCAGAGACCUGAGAUUAAACUUGAAUCACUGAAAGAAGAUAUUAAGGAAUUCUUUAAAAUAUCAGGUUGGGAGAAGAAACUUCAGAAUGCUGUUUAUAGUGAACUGAGUGUGUUUCCUUUACCUAGUCAUCCUGCUGCACCUCCUGAACAUCUUAAAGAACCUUUGGUAUACAUGAGGAAAGCACAGACUUAGGGCCUAAUUAUCCACCUCCACGAAUAGGACCUGAGAAAAAUUGUGUCUAUAAAACUGGAGCUAGAGUGGACCUCAAGUUUAUCCAGUCCAAACUCUGGCAAGUGUUCACUUCUCAUCUCCUUUUGCUCCAGGACUUCUGGAAACAAGGAGCUCAUAAUUUCACUGAGUUAAGUUAUAUUUGAGGGAAGUUGGGAAAAAAGAAUUUUGAAGAGUUUAAAUAGUAUGUGCACUGAACUGAGUAUCCCACUGGCACGAAAGAGGCCAGUUGGAGAACAGAAAGAACUUCUUAAUAAAUGGAAUGAAAUGGGAACUGAUGAACCAGAUUUAAGCCUUUUCAGACCUGUUUAUGCACCUAAGGAUUUUCUUGAGGUAUUAAUUAAUCUUCGCAACCCAAAUUAUGAAAACGGUGAUUCUCUUAGUUUCAGGACUCAUUUGGGUUUAAUUCAAGUUCCACUGAAAGUAAAAGACAUCCCUGAAUUGAAAGAAUGCUUUGUGGAACUUGGCUUAAAUAUAGGACAACUGGGUAUAGAUGAUUCUACACAAGUGCCUCCUGAACUUUUUGAAAAUGAGCAUGUACGUAUUGGGCAAAAAGUUCUAGCACAACAAGAUAGUGCUGCUGCUCAACAGUACAUCAGACAAGGAAGUCCCACGGCACUGAGAGCUGAAUUGUGGGCUCUCAUUUUGAAUAUUUCCAGCCAACCUGAGGAUGUCUUGUAUUAUGAGCAGCUUAAGACCAAUGUGAUACAACAUGACCUUUUGGUGGACAGUCUAAUCUAUAAAGAUGUGAAGUUGACAGCAAGCAAUGAUGAUUAUUAUUUUGUAUUUGAAGAUUAUUUAUAUCAGGUAUUACUUUGUUUUUCCCGGGAUACAUCUGUGUUGAGUCACUUUGCAUUCAACAGUGCCUCGCCACCAAAAUCAUACAUAAGAGGAAAACUAGGACUGGAAGAAUAUGCUGUCUUUUACCCACCAAAUGGUGUUAUCCCUUUUCAUGGAUUUUCAAUGUAUGUUGCACCACUUUGUUUUCUAUACCAUGAACCUUCCAAAUUGUAUCAGAUAUUCCGUGAGAUGUAUGUGCGUUUUUUCUUCAGACUCCAUUCCAUCUCUUCUCAUCCUUCUGGUAUUGUGUCACUCUGUCUGCUGUUUGAAACUCUACUUCAAACUUAUCUUCCCCAACUCUUUUAUCAUCUACGAGAAAUUGGGGCUCAACCACUUCGCAUAUCAUUUAAGUGGAUGGUUCGAGCUUUCUCUGGAUACUUAGCUACAGAUCAGCUCUUGCUUUUAUGGGAUAGAAUCCUAGGAUACAACUCUCUGGAAAUUCUUGCUGUGCUGGCAGCUGCCGUGUUUGCUUUCCGAGCAGUGAACCUGAUGGAGGUGACAUCACUGGCUGCAGCUGAAAAUCUAGCUGCCCACAGUGAACAGUUCUGCACUGCUCCUCUAUUCCCUGAGCUUUACAGAGUCCAGAUCCCAUGUAGUGCUGAACUCAGGCAGAAAGAAGAGUGCAGUUUAUUGGACUCCAAAUCUCAUUCAACAGAACAAAGAAGUUGAGGUUUGCAAGGAAGAACCUAUAAUGAUGGGUCAUGGAAUAUAACCUAGAAAAGAAGAGAAAUAAAAGAGACUGUGUUUCACCAUGUUGCCCAGGCUGGUCUCGAACUUCUGAGCUCAAGCAAUCCACCCUCCUCAGCCUCCAGAAGUGCUGGGAUUACAGGCAUGAGACACCAAGUCCAGCCAUAAGGUUCUUAUUCUAUAUAUGCAUGGUAUGAUAUCACUUGAAGGUAGACUGUGAUAAGUUAAAUACGUAUAUUUUUUAAAUCUUCAAACAACCACUAAAAUAAAAGAACAAAGAGUUACAACUAAUAAAGGAGAUAGAAUGGAAUCAUAAAAUAUGUUUUCAAAAGAUGGUGUAAAAGGAAUAAAAAGGAAACAAAAAACAGAUGGAGAAAAAUAGAAAAAAAAACAA